rnacentral:tRNA from 1 species
GACGAGGUGGCCGAGUGGUUAAUCCAUUGUGUUCUGCAUGCGUGGGUUCGAAUCCCAUCCUUGUCG